GAUGAACGCUAGCUACAGGCUUAACACAUGCAAGUCGAGGGGUAACGAGAGGAAAGCUUGCUUUCCUUGUCGACGACCGGCGCACGGGUGAGUAACGCGUAUCCAACCUGCCCCCAACUAGGGAAUAACCUUGCGAAAGUAAGACAAAUACCCUAUAAUUUCCUCAGAAUUCUUCUGACGGGGAAUAAAGAUUUAUCGGUUGUGGAUGGGGAUGCGUGUGAUUAGCUUGUUGGCGGGGUAACGGCCCACCAAGGCAACGAUCAGUAGGGGUUCUGAGAGGAAGGUCCCCCACAUUGGAACUGAGACACGGUCCAAACUCCUACGGGAGGCAGCAGUGAGGAAUAUUGGUCAAUGGGCGGAAGCCUGAACCAGCCAAGUAGCGUGCAGGAUGACAGCCCUAUGGGUUGUAAACUGCUUUUAUACAGGAAUAAAGUUAGCCACGUGUGGUUAUUUGUAGGUACUGUAUGAAUAAGGACCGGCUAAUUCCGUGCCAGCCGCCGCCGUAA
rnacentral:rRNA from 1 species